CCUUCAUACCACAAUAUUUGCCUAUCAAUACCUCGGUUGUCCCUUUAAAACUUCCUUGAAAGUAUGGCAUGAGAAAUGGUUUUAUAUCAGAAUAUAUAGAUGAGCGACCAUGCUCCCAAGUUCAUACAUGCCAAUAGCCAUAAUCACGACUUCAAACAAGAUAGCCGAGAUGAAGUGUCUUAGACUUUUAGGCGUGCAUGUCGUUGUGGAUUGGAUUUGGUGCCGAGUCCCUCCCCUGAAGAAGAAGAAGAAAAACUAUGUACGGGAAUAUGGUGGUCCGUCUGAUAUUUCUUGGCUUACCGCUUCCCGAUAGUGGAAGAGGUACAACCUGGCUAGCCUACGCACAGGCCCAAGCUUCAGCCAUCGGCGACCCAGCUAGAAGGCG
rnacentral:lncRNA from 7 species